GACGUAGGUGGCGAACGUUAUCCGGAAUUAUUGGGCGUAAAGGGUGCGUAGAUGGUGUGAUAAGUUAUCAGUGGGAAAUCGAGGCUCAACCUCGUGGAAGUUGGUAAUACUAUUAUACUAGAGUGCAGGAGAGGUUAACGGAACUCCAUGUGGAGCGGUAAAAUGCGUAGAUAUAUGGAAGAACAUCAAUAACGGCGAAGGCAGUUAACUAUUCUGUUACUGACAUUGAGGCACGAAAGCGUGGGGAGCAAAACGG
rnacentral:rRNA from 1 species